rnacentral:rRNA from 1 species
CCUACGGGAGGCAGCAGUGAGGAAUAUUGGUCAAUGGGCGAGAGCCUGAACCAGCCAAGUCGCGUGAAGGAUGAAGGAUCUAUGGUUUGUAAACUUCUUUUAUAUGGGAAUAAAGUGAGGAACGUGUUCCUUUUGUAUGUACCAUAUGAAUAAGCAUCGGCUAACUCCGUGCCAGCAGCCGCGGUAAUACGGAGGAUGCGAGCGUUAUCCGGAUUUAUUGGGUUUAAAGGGUGCGUAGGUGGUUAAUUAAGUCAGCGGUGAAAGUUUGUGGCUCAACCAUAAAAUUGCCGUUGAAACUGGUUGACUUGAGUAUAUUUGAGGUAGGCGGAAUGCGUGGUGUAGCGGUGAAAUGCAUAGAUAUCACGAAGAACUCCGAUUGCGAAGGCAGCUUACUAAACUGCCACUGACAUUGAUGCUCGAAAGUGUGGGGAUCAAACAGGAUUAGAUACCCGUGUAGUC